UUUUUAUUUUUCUGUGUCAUCAUGCCUCCGUUAUUAGCCUUUUAUCGUCUUGUUUAUAUUUUUUUUGGCCGGCAUGAUGCCGGCUUUUUUU
rnacentral:sRNA from 17 species